CACGUAGGGCGCAAGCGUUGUCCGGAAUUAUUGGGCGUAAAGAGCUCGUAGGCGGUUUGUCGCGUCGGCUGUGAAAACCUGGGGCUCAACCCCGGGCCUGCAGCCGAUACGGGCAAACUAGAAUUCGGUAGGGGAGACUGGAAUUCCUGGUGUAGCGGUGGAAUGCGCAGAUAUCAGGAGGAACACCAAUAGCGAAGGCAGCUCGCUGGGACGUUACUGACACUGAGGCGCGAAAGCGUGGGGAGCGAACAGG
rnacentral:rRNA from 1 species